GGAUGAAUAGCUCAAUGGUAGAGCUGCGGCUUGUUAAGCCGAUGGUUGUAGGUUCGAGCCCUUCUUCAUCCG
rnacentral:tRNA from 1 species